rnacentral:tRNA from 1 species
GGAGGAGUGGCUCAACUGGCAGAGUGCUUGUCUUACACAUACUAAGUCCUGGGUUCAAACCCUAGCACUGCA